rnacentral:lncRNA from 1 species
AUGCAGCCACUGGAGGGCAGUGUCAAAACUCACAGCUGCCCUGUACAACCCAACCUCUCCCCGCACAUUUCACUUCAGGCUCCUCUUGUCAAACGUUUCCCUUUUGCUUCCCCAGGUGCCUUCUCCUCUCUCCCCACCACUCGCACCCAGCAGCUCUUCCAGCACCCGGGACUGCAGCUCCCCACUCUUCACCCCACUGAUGCCACCCUUACACCAGCCUGGUGUAAGGUUUUGGGACCCACAGCGGGCACUGUGGGUGUUUGGGAUGAAGGGCAGCUGAGAGCGCCUAGCAGCAGAAGUGUGAUGCCUGUGGCGGAGCCAGCAGAGGUCUCAGGGGCUGCAAUUUCAACCAACUUGCACAAGCCAGAGUAAUUGCAGAUGUAAUAACAAGAUACAAUAUCACCGCUAUGCGGUUCGACCUGUUUGCUGUUUCGAGACGUGGCAGUCGUGUGGCUGAGCAGCGUGCACCAGCUGAGCGGCCUCGUGGCACGGCGCGGGGCCGGACCAGCUGCUGCCUCUGCUGUUGUGCGCCCCGCUGGAGAUGUAAGGGCUGUGGGAAGACAUACGAUGAGCUGGUGGUUAGAGGAGACAGGACGCAAAUUCACAGGAAAUAAUGUUUAAUUGGUUUUGCUGUUCCUGGGAUACCAUUCUUUACAAGUAAAUAGUUUAUUCUCUUCUUUUAAAUUCCCUGUAUUAUUGGCUUCGGGGCACUGACUAUUUCCACACAGCCCAUAGGGGACAGAAUUACUGUAGGAAAAUGAAAGGGAAAAAUGAGUCUUUAACUUGACCUGCAUCAUCAGAGAGCUUGAAAAAAACGGAGUGUUUUUGUAGAGCCUUUAUAUCAUCACCCUUUUCAACCGAGCAUCCUAAAUGCUUUAUAAAUAUUAAUUAAGUCUCAUGUGGCUCCUCUGAAUUACGUAAAGACAGAAUUGCCUCAUCCAUCAGAGAGAGGAUCCAGAAGCUGCUUAACAAUUUGAAGCAGCAUCAAAUGACAGCAGCUCAGUGAAUAAAAACAUAACACCCA